GACGAACGCUGGCGGCGUGCUUAACACAUGCAAGUCGAGCGGUAAGGCCUUUCGGGUUCCACGCGCGGGGAACGGGCGAGUAACACGUGGGCGAUCUGCCCUGCACUUCGGGAUAAGCCUGGGAAACUGGGACUAAUACCGGAAUUGAGCACCAUUUGCUGGGUCGGUGGGGGCAAGAUUUAUCGGCGCAGGAUGGGCCCGUGGCCGAUCAGCUUGUUGGUGGGGUAAUGGCCUACCAAGGCGACGACGGGUAGCCGACCUGGGAGGGUGACCGGCCACACGGGGACUGAGACACGGCCCAGUCUCCUACGUGAGGCAGCAGUGGAGAAUAUUGCACAGUGGGCGCAAGCCUGAUGCAGCGACGCCGCGUGCGUGAUGACGGCCUUCGGGUUGUAAACCUCUUUCUGCAGGGACGAAGCGCAAGUGACGGUACCUGCAGAAGAAGCCCCGGCUAACUACGUG
rnacentral:rRNA from 1 species